GAGUUUGAUCGUGGCUCAGGACGAACGCUGGCGGCGUGCCUAAUACAUGCAAGUCGAGCGAAUCUUUGGGAGCUUGCUCCUAAAGGUUAGCGGCGGACGGGUGAGUAACACGUGGGCAACCUGCCUAUAAGACUGGGAUAACUUCGGGAAACCGGAGCUAAUACCGGAUAAUUCUUUUCCUCUCAUGAGGAAAAGCUGAAAGGCGGCUUCGGCUGUCACUUAUAGAUGGGCCCGCGGCGCAUUAGCUAGUUGGUGAGGUAACGGCUCACCAAGGCGACGAUGCGUAGCCGACCUGAGAGGAUGAUCAGUCACACCGGAACUGAGACACGGUCCGGACUCCUACGGGAGGCAGCAGUGGGGAAUAUUGGACAAUGGGGGCAACCCUGAUCCAGCCAUGCCGCGUGUGUGAAGAAGGCCUCGGUUGUAAGC
rnacentral:rRNA from 1 species